CAGUCGCCACGGUAAUACGUAGGUGGCAAGCGUUGUCCGGAAUUAUUGGGCGUAAAGCGCGCGCAGGCGGAUAGGUCAGUCUGUCUUAAAAGUUCGGGGCUUAACCCCGUGAUGGGAUGGAAACUGCCAAUCUAGAGUAUCGGAGAGGAAAGUGGAAUUCCUAGUGUAGCGGUGAAAUGCGUAGAUAUUAGGAAGAACACCAGUGGCGAAGGCGACUUUCUGGACGAAAACUGACGCUGAGGCGCGAAAGCCAGGGGAGCGAACGGGAUUAGAUACCCCAGUAGUCCCUGUCUCUUAUACA
rnacentral:rRNA from 1 species